rnacentral:rRNA from 1 species
AUACGUAGGUGGCAAGCGUUGUCCGGAAUUAUUGGGCGUAAAGCGCGCGCAGGUGGUUCCUUAAGUCUGAUGUGAAAGCCCCCGGCUCAACCGGGGAGGGUCAUUGGAAACUGGGGAACUUGAGUGCAGAAGAGGAUAGUGGAAUUCCAAGUGUAGCGGUGAAAUGCGUAGAGAUUUGGAGGAACACCAGUGGCGAAGGCGACUGUCUGGUCUGUAACUGACACUGAGGCGCGAAAGCGUGGGGAGCAAACAGGAUUGGAUACCCUGGUAGUCCACGCCGUAAACGAUGAGUGCUAAGUGUUGGGGGGUUUCCGCCCCUCAGUGCUGCAGCUAACGCAUUAAGCACUCCGCCUGGGGAGUACGGUCGCAAGACUGAAACUCAAAUGAAUUGACGGGG